rnacentral:rRNA from 1 species
CCCUUAGAGUUUGAUCCUGGCUCAGAAUGAACGCUGGCGGCGUGCUUAACACAUGCAAGUCGUGCGCGAAGGGGGCUUCGGUCUCCGGAGAGCGGCGAACGGGUGAGUAGCACGUGGGUAAUCUGCCUGGGAGUGGGGGAUAACCUGGGGAAACUCGGGCUAACACCGCAUACGUUGAUGGGAUUACGGUCCUGUCAGGAAAACUGGCCUCUGCUUGCAAGCUAGUGCUCCCAGAGGAGCCCGCGGCUGAUUAGCUAGUUGGUGGGGUAAAGGCUCACCAAGGCUUCGAUCAGUAGCCGGCCUGAGAGGGUGAUCGGCCACACUGGGACUGAGACACGGCCCAGACUCCUACGGGAGGCAGCAGUGGGGAAUAUUGGACAAUGGGCGCAAGCCUGAUCCAGCAACGCCGCGUGGAGGAUGAAGGUCUUCGGAUCGUAAACUCCUGUCAGAUGGGACGAAGGUAGCGGGGUAAAUAAUCCUGCUGCUUGACGGUACCAUCAGAGGAAGCCCCGGCUAACUCCGUGCCAGCAGCCGCGGUAAUACGGAGGGGGCGAGCGUUAUUCGGAAUUAUUGGGCGUAAAGGGCGCGUAGGCGGCCCGGUAAGUCAAAGGUGAAAUCCCUCGGCUCAACUGAGGAACUGCCUUUGAAACUGUCGGGCUUGAGGCCGGGAGGGGGUAGCGGAAUUCCCAGUGUAGCGGUGAAAUGCGUAGAUAUUGGGAGGAACACCAGUGGCGAAGGCGGCUACCUGGACCGGUUCUGACGCUGAUGCGCGAAAGCGUGGGUAGCAAACAGAUAGAUACCCUGGUAGUCCACGCUGUAAACGAUGGGUGCUCGGUGUCGCGGGUAUCGACCCCUGCGGUGCUUAGCUACGCGUAAGCACCCGCCUGGGGAGUACGGUCGCAAGCUGAACUCAAAGGAUUGA